rnacentral:pre_miRNA from 1 species
AACGUAUUACCUCCGUCACAAAAAGCUUGCCUUAGAUUUAUCUAGAUACGGAUGUAUCAAACACCAAAUGUGUCUAGAUACAUCCAUAUCUUGACAAAUCUAAGACAAGCUUUUUGGGACGGAGGGAGUAUUUG